CGGGGAAUAUUGCACAAUGGAGGGAACUCUGAUGCAGCGACGCCGCGGGAGUGAUGAAGGAAUUCGUUUCGUAAAACUCUGUUCUAUGGGAAGAAAAGGACUGUACCAUAGGAGAAAGCUCCGGCUAAAUACGUGCCAGCAGCCGCGGUAAUACGUAUGGAGCGAGCGUUGUCCGGAAUUAUUGGGCGUAAAGGGUGCGCAGGCGGCUUUACAAGUUGGAUGUGAAAUAUUGUGGCUCAACCACAAACGUGCAUCCAAAACUGCAAAGCUUGAGUUAAGGAGAGGUAAGUGGAAUUCCUGGUGUAGCGGUGGAAUGCGUAGAUAUCAGGAGGAAUACCGGUGACGAAGGCGACUUACUGGACUUAAACUGACGCUCAGGCACGAAAGCGUGGGGAGCAAACAGG
rnacentral:rRNA from 1 species